rnacentral:rRNA from 1 species
AGCGUACACGGUGGAUGCCCUGGCAGUCAGAGGCGAUGAAGGACGUGCUAAUCUGCGAUAAGCGUCGGUAAGGUGAUAUGAACCGUUAUAACCGGCGAUGUCCGAAUGGGGAAACCCAGUGUGUUUCGACACACUAUCAUUAACUGAAUCCAUAGGUUAAUGAGGCGAACCGGGGGAACUGAAACAUCUAAGUACCCCGAGGAAAAGAAAUCAACCGAGAUUCCCCCAGUAGCGGCGAGCGAACGGGGAGGAGCCCAGAGCCUGAAUCAGUGUGUGUGUUAGUGGAAGCGUCUGGAAAGGCGUGCGAUACAGGGUGACAGCCCCGUACACAAAAAUGCACAUGCUGUGAGCUCGAUGAGUAGGGCGGGACACGUGGUAUCCUGUCUGAAUAUGGGGGGACCAUCCUCCAAGGCUAAAUACUCCUGACUGACCGAUAGUGAACCAGUACCGUGAGGGAAAGGCGAAAAGAACCCCGGCGAGGGGAGUGAAAAAGAACCUGAAACCGUGUACGUACAAGCAGUGGGAGCCCUGAUUUAUCAGGGUGACUGCGUACCUUUUGUAUAAUGGGUCAGCGACUUAUAUUCUGUAGCAAGGUUAACCGAAUAGGGGAGCCGGAGGGAAACCGAGUCUUAACUGGGCGUUAAGUUGCAGGGUAUAGACCCGAAACCCGGUGAUCUAGCCAUGGGCAGGUUGAAGGUUGGGUAACACUAACUGGAGGACCGAACCGACUAAUGUUGAAAAAUUAGCGGAUGACUUGUGGCUGGGGGUGAAAGGCCAAUCAAACCGGGAGAUAGCUGGUUCUCCCCGAAAGCUAUUUAGGUAGCGCCUCGUGAAUUCAUCUCCGGGGGUAGAGCACUGUUUCGGCAAGGGGGUCAUCCCGACUUACCAACCCGAUGCAAACUGCGAAUACCGGAGAAUGUUAUCACGGGAGACACACGGCGGGUGCUAACGUCCGUCGUGAAGAGGGAAACAACCCAGACCGCCAGCUAAGGUCCCAAAGUCAUGGUUAAGUGGGAAACGAUGUGGGAAGGCCCAGACAGCCAGGAUGUUGGCUUAGAAGCAGCCAUCAUUUAAAGAAAGCGUAAUAGCUCACUGGUCGAGUCGGCCUGCGCGGAAGAUGUAACGGGGCUAAACCAUGCACCGAAGCUGCGGCAGCGACGCUGAUGCGUUGUUGGGUAGGGGAGCGUUCUGUAAGCCUGUGAAGGUGUGCUGUGAGGCAUGCUGGAGGUAUCAGAAGUGCGAAUGCUGACAUAAGUAACGAUAAAGCGGGUGAAAAGCCCGCUCGCCGGAAGACCAAGGGUUCCUGUCCAACGUUAAUCGGGGCAGGGUGAGUCGACCCCUAAGGCGAGGCCGAAAGGCGUAGUCGAUGGGAAACAGGUUAAUAUUCCUGUACUUGGUGUUACUGCGAAGGGGGGACGGAGAAGGCUAUGUUGGCCGGGCGACGGUUGUCCCGGUUUAAGCGUGUAGGCUGGUUUUCCAGGCAAAUCCGGAGAAUCAAGGCUGAGGCGUGAUGACGAGGCACUACGGUGCUGAAGCAACAAAUGCCCUGCUUCCAGGAAAAGCCUCUAAGCAUCAGGUAACAUCAAAUCGUACCCCAAACCGACACAGGUGGUCAGGUAGAGAAUACCAAGGCGCUUGAGAGAACUCGGGUGAAGGAACUAGGCAAAAUGGUGCCGUAACUUCGGGAGAAGGCACGCUGAUAUGUAGGUGAAGCGACUUGCUCGUGGAGCUGAAAUCAGUCGAAGAUACCAGCUGGCUGCAACUGUUUAUUAAAAACACAGCACUGUGCAAACACGAAAGUGGACGUAUACGGUGUGACGCCUGCCCGGUGCCGGAAGGUUAAUUGAUGGGGUCAGCGCAAGCGAAGCUCUUGAUCGAAGCCCCGGUAAACGGCGGCCGUAACUAUAACGGUCCUAAGGUAGCGAAAUUCCUUGUCGGGUAAGUUCCGACCUGCACGAAUGGCGUAAUGAUGGCCAGGCUGUCUCCACCCGAGACUCAGUGAAAUUGAACUCGCUGUGAAGAUGCAGUGUACCCGCGGCAAGACGGAAAGACCCCGUGAACCUUUACUAUAGCUUGACACUGAACACUGGUCCUUGAUGUGUAGGAUAGGUGGGAGGCUUUGAAGUGUGGACGCCAGUCUGCAUGGAGCCGUCCUUGAAAUACCACCCUUUAAUGGCUGGUGUUCUAACGUAGGCCCCUUAUCGGGGUUGCGGACAGUGUCUGGUGGGUAGUUUGACUGGGGCGGUCUCCUCCUAAAGAGUAACGGAGGAGCACGAAGGUUGGCUAAUCCUGGUCGGACAUCAGGAGGUUAGUGCAAUGGCAUAAGCCAGCUUGACUGCGAGCGUGACGGCGCGAGCAGGUGCGAAAGCAGGUCAUAGUGAUCCGGUGGUUCUGAAUGGAAGGGCCAUCGCUCAACGGAUAAAAGGUACUCCGGGGAUAACAGGCUGAUACCGCCCAAGAGUUCAUAUCGACGGCGGUGUUUGGCACCUCGAUGUCGGCUCAUCACAUCCUGGGGCUGAAGUAGGUCCCAAGGGUAUGGCUGUUCGCCAUUUAAAGUGGUACGCGAGCUGGGUUUAGAACGUCGUGAGACAGUUCGGUCCCUAUCUGCCGUGGGCGCUGGAGAACUGAGGGGGGCUGCUCCUAGUACGAGAGGACCGGAGUGGACGCAUCACUGGUGUUCGGGUUGUCAUGCCAAUGGCACUGCCCGGUAGCUAAAUGCGGAAGAGAUAAGUGCUGAAAGCAUCUAAGCACGAAACUUGCCCCGAGAUGAGUUCU